UGGCGAUCAGCCUCAGAUCAGCUGUUUUAGGCCGAUUUUGCAUUAAUCCAUGCGAGAAAAUACGUUAAGGGAUAUUGGUUGGCCGAAAAAAUACAAAAAGUCCAAACUCAUCGGCAGCGGGACUCUCCGAUGCAGCGACUCCUCCGGCUCACAUUGUGGUUGGGUGUUUUGCUCCAUUUAACCUGUAGAGAAUGAAACAGUAAUUACAAUUGUAGAAAAAUUAUGAAAAAUAGGAAUCGGGAAGGGGCUUAUCGGAGACAUUUUGUGAAAUUUCCUACGGCAGCGCUGCUGGACUUUGCCCAUCAGUUUCUCGCCAAUCCGCUGGUUUUUUUGCUUCGAUUUAGGCAUGGAAGUGUUUAAAAUUGAAUUCUGAGCAAAAAAAAAUUGUUUUAUCUCUUUUGGCGGUCGGAAAGGGCUCCAGUGCGACGGGGGGUGGCGGCAACCUCCUUCUCGGCGGCUGGAUCUUCUUCUCUAGCGAGGGGGAGUCUGGCGGCUAGGGUUAGAGUUUAGUGUGAAGGGGGUUAUUUAUACUUGUUCUCUUUUGAUCUGGGCUAUCUAUCUCAUUUGAUCUGAAUCGUCCGAUCGCGAUUAAAUAGUGAGUGAAUCUGGACCGUUCAACGCGAUUUAAUCUGGACCGUUUGUGCCCGCGGGGGCAUAUCUGGGCCAUUCGAUCAUGGGCACGUGGAUCGCCCGCGUAGCCUCCCGCGUGGUACCUCGUCAGCGUCUAUUGCCAUGCGGUGUGUCUUGUUUCGUCGGGGUUGCUGACCGGGCAUCUCACGUGGCACAAUUUCUUCAAAUUGUAUUUUGACUCCCAGUUUUUGAUUUUUUUUAAAAAAAAUAACAAAAGAAUCCA
rnacentral:lncRNA from 1 species